CGCCAGACCUCCAGCCCACAAAGACACCGUCCUCUGCCACAAACUCCUGAGUUCCAGGCUGGGUUCCAAGGCUGGGCCCAGUCCCUGGGAAAUGAUUGACAGGGAACGGCCUGCAGAACUGCGAUUAUUUGGGAUUUCUUAAUGUUAAUGCAAUGCGGGUUCCUUUCUGUUCUUUUAAUGCUAUUUUGUAUUAAGGUAGUUCAAAGUUCUUUACAAACAGCUAGUAAUUAAUUCAAUUUCAUUAAGACCAAUUAAUCCAGGAUUAAUUAUAAAUUUACCCAGAGGAAGUUAUUAUACUUUGCUCUUUGAUUUGAGUUUUGGCUUUAAAGAUUCUUUUAGGAGUGAAAUGGAAAUUUCCGUCUUCUCUGAGGCUAUCCACCUUGCCAGUGACUGUGUUAACCAUGUACCUUCCUCGGCGUGUCCCAUACUGACCUCGGAUCAGGUUGUCACCAGGCCACCACUGUGCUCCAUGGCACUGCCAGUGCUGAGCAGCUCUGAUAGUGCCCCCUGAGCUGCAGGGCAGGAGCUGACGUCCUGGCGAGAGCUGGUCCCAAGCUGGAAUCACGCCCCGUGGCCCCACCUGCCUCCCACCCCAUUUCUUCCACCUGAAUAUGGAUACAAGCUCUUUAAGGUCUGCAGGGGUCGGCGGCCUCUCCCUCCUCAACUGUCCUCAGAGGCAUCACGCUCUUCUCCUCCGGGUCACCAUGGGGGCUGACCCCACUCUAGCUCCAGGGAUGGACCUGAGACUCAGGUCCUUUCACUAGCCACGGCCACUGGUUCGGCAGUGAGUGUGUGACCCAAGUCAGCACAAUUGGAGAAAAACCGGAAAUCUGUUUCCAGGACAAGCAGUACAGAAGUAUGCUGCUCUCCGAUACGGACUAAGACCUGUGGAAAUCAUCUGGGCUGUGACGGGACCCCUGCGGGGGGAGGCUGGCCGUGUACAACAGUGACCUCCAAAGAUGUCCACGUCUUGGAACCUGUGACAGUGUUGGCCUGCACGGUGGGAGCAGGACCUGAGUCCAGGAGCUGGGCAGGCUGCAGAAGCUGGAAAACCCAGCCUGCGGGAGCUCCCCGGAGCCUCCAGAAAGGAACCCCGCCUGCCCACACCUGGAUUUACCCCAGUGAGGCCUGUUUCGGACACUGAUGGGCAGAACUGUAACAGAACGCGUGGGAGUUGCCUCAUGACACCGUUUGUAGGAAUUGGUUACUGCAGACAUAGUAAACGAAUACAGACAUUUAACUAGACUGUGGAGUCUAUUUUCACAUUUAUUAAGUUAGGGAAUGGCUCAUAAUUCCCUCCCACCUGGCCAGAGGAUCACAGUCUGACAGCUAAGACUGUACACCAGAAACAGCCCGACGGCCUGUCCUCCGGUCAGACCACGCUCCCCUGACCUCUGACCCCGCUGCCACGUGACACCGUGGGACGGGGGUGCAGCCAGAGCCCUGGGGACCCGCAGGCUUCAGCUGUUCCCCCGCCGCAGCGGGGCAUGUCUGCUGGCAUGGAGAGAGGCCCCAGCAGAGAAGGCUGGCUGACCUGACCCCAGCCCCAGCCCCACUUACUGCCUCAGGCUCCACGGCGAUUCCCAGGAGAGUCCUCGGGGCAAAGGCGGGCAGGACGACCGGAAGGCAGCACACGCAGCGGGCAGAUGGCAAAGGGGCGAGCCCGGGCCUCUGGAUUGCGAGCGCGGAUGCCACUUUCUGCGCUGCUUCCAGCUCAGGCCCGGGGCCAGGACCUCACUGAACUCCCCUGAUAGCCCUCGGCGGUGCUGCUGGGGCGACUUCCCGGCAGAGGGAGGAGGGCCGAGAGAGGAGGCUUGCUCAGCCUGCCAGCCGACCCCCGUUUCAUGCCAGCUGUCUCCAACCCCAGUGGCAUGAGCCGCCUUCACCAUUCACACAAGAUCCAGGCAGACACAGCUUUAAGGCUGACUUAAAUAAAAGUAUUUCCCCAUACACGGAAAAACACUAUCACUUUCCACAAAUAGCUGGGACCCACAAAAGUCUCAAUAAAAAGUGAGACUAGCAAGUAUUAAAAACGGAGAGUCAUACUCCACCCUCUAAGAUUCACGGAAUUAGAAUUAAAAAGGCACAGGAAUUCCCUGGCCAGCCAAUGGUUAGGACAUGGGCUUUUACUGCUGUGAACCGGGAUUUAAUCCCUGGUCAGGGAUCACGGUUCGAUCCAAGCUGUGCAGCCAAAAGAAAAAAAAGGGUUAAAAAAGAAAAGGGUUAAAAAGGCAGUAAUGUUCUCACUAUGUGGAUCAACGUUAUUUGGUUGUGUUCUUUGCACCACUUCCAAGGUGCCAGCAAAAUCAUGUUUCCCUUCUGUCCCCAGAAAUCAACCUGGAGAUGAAAUAACGAGUAUACCAGUGCGCCUGGCAACAAUCGGAAAGGGAGGUCAUUCCAAAUGCUGGUGAGAAUGCGGGAAUAUAAGACCAGAGACGAAGCCAGGUAGCUUACAAAGGGGUCUCCUUCAACAGGGACUUUCUCUGGCUUUGAGCGUGAUUGGUUUGGAUCUUGGGGGUCAUGGCUCUGAAGUGCACCCCAGACCCUGGGGAUUAUAUUGCUUACAAUCAUCAUCACAAUCUCCAUAGUGCAUUGUAUUCUCUCAAAAGCUUUAAAUGCACGUUCGCAGCCACUAACCACCAAGCAAAUGAUCUCCCUGAGACGGAAGCGUCAGAAAAAGAAUGAAUUACUGAGGUAAAGAAUGUGAACCCGACGUCGUGAGCUGUGAGCACCGCAGAGGUUCAGGGGAAGCUGCAAGGGCUCCGGAGCGGUGGCUGGGAGCAGCGCUAAGGCCUUAAAUUUCCAUCGCCUCUCUCAGGCUGAGAACCGGUCAGGAGGAGGAAAUUAAGAAACAACACAACAGGCCCCAAGUACAGUCCCUUCUGCUAAGCCCAAAGUCACCAAAACCUAAUUACAGUUUCAGCUUUCCCCUGCGAAUGGUCUUGGCUCCCUUGCUCGUAUGCUGAGGCUUAUUUCUGGAUGCUCUACUUUAUUCCGUAGGCCUGUGUCUGUCCUCAUGCCACUGCUGCACUGUUUGAUGGGCCAUUAUUAAAUUCAGUUGAGGAUAUGCUCUGAGCGCUCAGCUGAGGCUGGAGAACAUGAUGGGCGCGUGGCUCCACAGGGUCCCUGAGUGACUGCCUCCCUCUAUACUCAGCAGUGUUCUCAAGGUGUGGAGAAGGCAGAGGCAGGCUUGACCUGGACUUGGGGGUUCAAAGGUCAGAUAUGAAAGACUUCAAAGCAAGGAGGGAGCAGAAGCGUUGGAAACCAAGAGGCUGAGAUGAUUAGGCCUGGAUGAAGACAUGAGGGGUCAAGGGACAGGCGGUGGAAGAGCAAGGGUCAGGGGGUUGGAGAGAGCGGGCCAGCCGGCAGGCAGGCCAGGGCCCGCACAGCACAAGCUGGGAUGCAGCGUCCGCCCCGGACCUUGUCUGUGUCACUGCACAGGCCCAUGGAUGGAAUCCUAACUCAAGCUGUUAGGCCCCAGGGUCUGCACUGCUCACCCUGCAAG
ensembl:lncRNA